rnacentral:rRNA from 1 species
UGGCGAACGGGUGAGUAACACGUGGGUAAUCUGCCCCGCACUCUGGGAUAAGCCUGGGAAACUGGGUCUAAUACUGGAUAUGACCUUUCUCCUUAUGGGGUUUGGUGGAAAGUUUUUCGGUGUAGGAUGAGCCCGCGGCCUAUCAGCUUGUUGGUGGGGUGAUGGCCUACCAAGGCGACGACGGGUAGCCGGCCUGAGAGGGUGAUCGGCCACAUUGGGACUGAGAUACGGCCCAG